UGCGACCUGCAAGCAUGCCGGACCAUUUUAAUCUCACUUCACAGGGUGUUUUUUCAGUCACAUUUUGCAGGUUGUUUGAACCUUACCAGUUGCUGGAAUUUUUACCAGAAUUUUCACGUGUCAUCUGCCAUCGCCACUAGUUAAGUACAGGCCGGACUGUGGAGAAUAAAAGAGAACCAAAGCGGCGACGGCGAGCAGGCCAGGAUUCAAGCAGAAGAAGCAGUUCAGGAUUUCCAUCUGCAGAGCAAUCUGAAAGGGAUGGCACUGAGGCAUCUAACACAUGGAAAAUUUUCUAUGGUACAUUACCAAGGCAGCUACUACCUAACGCAGUGCCUACCGCCUAAUAAGCAUCCAACAAGAAUAACUUCAAUUACAUCAAGCCAAGUAACAAGGCAUCAGCUGAAUCUGCUCUGAGGGAUACAAAAGAUCACCCUGGUGCAGAGUAAUGUAAUCUAUGCUUGAUUGGCUCUAAAAUGCGGACUGUGGACCGGUUA